GGGAUAUUGGACAAUGGGGGGAACCCUGAUCCAGCGACGCCGCGUGAGUGAAGAAGUAUUUCGGUAUGUAAAGCUCUGUCAGCAGGGAAGAAAUCAUGACGGUACCUGACCAAGAAGCCCCGGCUAACUACAUGCCAGCAGCCGCGGUAAUACGUAGGGGGCAAGCGUUAUCCGGAUUUACUGGGUGUAAAGGGAGCGUAGACGGUGAGACAAGUCUGAAGUGAAAGCCCGGGGCUCAACCCCGGGACUGCUUUGGAAACUGCCUGACUGGAGUGCUGGAGAGGCAAGCGGAAUUCCUAGUGUAGCGGUGAAAUGCGUAGAUAUUAGGAAGAACACCAGUGGCGAAGGCGGCUUGCUGGACAGUAACUGACGUUGAGGCUCGAAAGCGUGGGGAGCAAAC
rnacentral:rRNA from 1 species